AGAUAUCAUAUAGAAGACUAGAUGCCCUAUUGGCCGCUGGGGACUGAGAAAUACGGCGGCCAUCUUAAACCGGUCGUUCUCCUAGUUUCGUUGCAUGGCAGCAGAUAAGAUGUCAGAGCACUGUGGAGCAUUUUCCUGUUCUAAUCGGCGGACGAUCGCAAAUAGAGCCCGGAGGAUUAUUUUCACAAGUACUUUUUAACAUCGCGGUACUAUUGGUUGUAUUUUGUGAAUAGAAUAUUUACAGAAAAUUGAGAAAGAGCCAGCUUAUUGAUUUUACUGUACUGAAAUCGUAGCCAGCUAACGUUCGCUAGGCUAUGUUAACUGCACCAGCCGCUGUUCACCCUGCAAGGAGAGUGGGGUGCUGUGAGCUGCGUGAUCCGCCGAGCUUUAAAAAGCUGAGAUGUCAACAGGAACAGAGGAUGUUUUCCUUCGUAGGGAGGACAUUGAGGAGACUCGGUUUGGAAUCGACAACUAUCAGUCUGACUCGUUGUCACUGGUUGUGUCUGUGUUUUUAAAGAUAAGGCCCCACCAUGUUGCCAAACUCACCUCUCUUGAACUACAGAAAGGGAGCACGGGAAAGAAGUUCUGGAAAACAGUCCUCUUUCAGGGGUGUGUGUGUGUGUGUGUGUGUGUGUGUGUGUGUGUGUGUGUGUGUGGGUGCGUGUGUGUGUGUGGGGGGGUUUACAAAUCAUUUUAAAUUGUUUCUUCACCAUAUUAAAAAGUCUUAUUUUAUUGCAACUAUCUGUUUCUGCAUCUUUGUCAUAUUUAUAGUGUGUGAUUUAUAAAAUAUCUUAUGUCCUACACCA